UGGCUGGCUCCCUGCUGGCAGCGCUCAGCGCUGGAUGGAAGCGCAGUGAGCAGAGGCUGUGUGUAAGAGGGAGCGGCAGGCCCGCCCAGCUGGGCACUGCUCGGAUUCCAGGCUUUACAGCAGCUUCUGAAAGCGUGCCCGAGGCUGCGGUUCCUUGGACAGAUGUGAUGGACAGGAGUUGCCUCCGGCACAGUCUGUGGCUAUUCCUCAACGUGCACUUGUAGAGAUGUCUGUGAAGAGCUCCAGGAGUAAAAGGCAGAUCAGGUUUUCUGCAUUUUCUGUUCUCUUGUACCUCUCUGUGAACUUGCUGUCAGGAUGUGGUUCAUCUCAGGUGUGUUUGUACCAAAUUCUUGGUUUCAGAGGUGCACGGGCGCUUAGCGUAACUGAGAUCAGGAUUUAGAUUGAGCUCCAGAUGGUGAUCAGAGGAUUACUUGGAGAGCUGAUUAUGAGAGUUCUUUGUAUAAGUCCCAUGCCUAACUGAAUAGUUACAUCACAAAGAUUUCUCUUUAAUGAGUCAUCAGACAAUUUAGUGGGGGAAAAAAAACAACCACCACCACCUUCUAAGCUUUCCCAUGAAGCUGUUUUUCCUUAGCCCAUCUGGUUCCUAUUGAGCUGUACCCCAGCACUUGCAGGCUGCUUUAAUAGGUAUUCAUUUUCUGACUCUGAGGAUGACAUCUAUGAUAUCUCUUAUGUCUGAAUAUCUUCUUCUCUGCACGUGUGGCCUACGUUUGUCCUUGUGUUCAUCUACCAAGUGUGAGUGUACUGCUGUGGUGUGAGCAGUGAACAAAGACCGUUGUCCAUGGUGUGUUCCAAAGUACAAUCCGCUGCAUUUCUGUGUGCUAUUUUUGGAGUUUUCUUAGCAGAGAAGGUGGUCAGCCAGUCUGACUUCAGAGCCAAGUUAAGGGGAAAGUAGCAGUGCAAGCAGCAAGUGGGUGAGAAAACGUUCUUUUUACUCCUUUUGUCUUGCCAGGAAACAUCUUGUUCUCUUCUUCAGAUUUGUGAACUGCGCCUACUCUUCUCUUAGCUCAACAGAUUUGCCCAUCAGCUUGCAGAUAAAGGCCAAUGCUCCUGGCAUCUGCAGCUCUGGAUCUCUGUGCUGGCACGACUCGUCAGGCUGCAUUGUCACUGUCUUGUUUGGUGCCUGGUACCGUGGCUGCCACAGCUCCGGCCUUUGCUCUGUGACUCUGCUGUGUUAGCUUAGUACUAACAGCAGUGAUGUUCCCUCAGUUACCAAUGCCUGUCUCUGGACUGCUUGAGUGUUUCCUGAAGAGCGGUUUCUCACCGGUGCUGUGUACCCAGCUCUGUUGCUGGCCUCAGAUCCACCAGGAGGUUAAAUACUGCUGCAAUUGUAGUGGUGUUGGGCUCCCAUGCUGGUGGUGCCAAGGACCACAGCAGGCAGUAGCCUGAUUUCCUUAGCAUCGUUUUUUUUUUCUGCCUAUUUGCCUUACAACUACCAGACUUUUUUUGUGGUAUUGCUCAUUGUCAGAGUGAGAAUGUUUAAAAGUUUUUUUUUUAGUCAUGGGGCUGCUUGGGAGGAUUCUUUUCAUCCCUUCCUAAGCAAAGGUUAACAUAGCAGCUGGAUGACUAAGAGCGCUUUGACCUUCCUGAUUCACUUACAAGUGUAGUACUUCUUUAAUGGGUUAUUGUACUUGAGGAAUGCAAAUGACCCGUAGUUUCGAUGUACCUACCUGUCUGUAAGGGGGGGAAGUAGUGCUGCUGGGUAACUGAUUUGUUGUGUUUUUGUGAUGACGGACUCCUCCUGCAGCCUGCUCAUCACGAGACUCUUUGGAGGUAUCGGCUGCAAGCUAGAUUAUUUUUAUGCUCAAUCAUCCAUUGUUUUCUCCUGGGGACAGGAACUGCUGGGGAGGAAUAAUGGAAACUGUUUGAUGGGAGUGGUUUAAUACAGUUGUGGUUGGGAGCUCAGUGGGGUGACUGAGUAGACAGUCAGCUGCAGGGUUUUGUACAUCUGAUCCCAAACAGGCUGCUGCUGCUGCUUGCGGUUCUGCAAAGCGCAAGCGUUGUGUUACACCAGAUUCCCUCCUGGCCAACAAAUCCUUGGGGUCUUCUGCCAGUUUUGUGGGAGACCUUUUGGUUACAGCACCAAAAAACAGGUUAAAUUUUGGAUUCAUGUGUUGGAUUGCAUAGGCUGAGUGCUAAAUAGUUCUUAACCCUUAAACCAGCGUGCUCCAGUAAGAGACUGUCCUUGUUGCUGUUAGUAGGAAACCUGCCCAGCCAAAAGGCUAAUUUCCCCUUUUAGUGUUCACUGAGUUCAGUGCUUUUGUCAGAGGUGACGAUAAUUCGUACUCCUUAUUUUUUCCUGUUAAGUCAUGCUUUGUCCUAAUUGCUCCUUAAGAUUUCAUUACGGUCUUUUUCAGAAACUUUGCAUCUCCAAGGCUUAAGUGAUUUACCACACCUGUGUGUUGAGAGAAGACUUUUUUUUUGUUUAAUUAGGGAUUUAAAUCUUCCAGAUACUCUUAGAAGCCACUACUGAGAGCAAGACUAUUGCCAGAGCUGCUUGGAGGUGCACUAGAGGCUUCCAUGAGCUUGUUUAUGCUUUGUGGUAUGAGUAUGCCCCUUUGCCCCCUGGGCCAGAUCAAAUGAUGCUGAGAGUUUUAAUGAAGAACUCUUCCAAGUCUGAUAUCACUCGGAACGAACCUCUGUGUUCUUGGGGUAGUUACUCACCAAGCACUGAGACUUUGCAGAGUCAUCCAGGAAUGAAACUGCACUUUGUGGAGCUGUACUGGGGUUACCAUCUGUGCAGAGGACUCUGGUGCUUGUUUCUGGAUAGCUGCAAAUGAGUAGCUCCAAGCAGGGUUUUGUGCGUGUGUUGUGUGCUCUCGGGGUUCCCUGGUGGUACAGAAGUGCCGCUUCUAAGUGGUUGGCAUUCUUUAGUCUAUCUUGUCUGUCUUGACACACCACUCUCCUUCUCUUCCAACUCCAGCAGGAAGGUGAGAAGGACUGAGAGCUGGGUAUAUAUACCAAACCUGCCUACCUGUGAGCCUGCAGAGAUAUGUGGGACUUGUACAGCAUCUGUGGCCAAAGGGGGUUAAAGCUCUUGGGAAGGUUGCAUCUCCAACAGUCUAGUGUAGCAGCACGUGCUAAGCUGGAGUUGCUGGGAAGUAGCUGUCUUUUCCUAGGCUUCCUGGCUGCUGGGAACCUUGUGAAUGUGACCUGAGUAAACUAGAACAGAUGGAGGGUUUCGCUGCCUUGGCUAGCACUGCGACCCUUUCAUGGACACUGCAAAAGGGCAGCCUACAUAAUAGCGAUAACAGGAGCUGCAGGACACGCUGUGUUGAAUUUUAUCUGCCUAAAUAGCUGCUAGUCCAAUUCCAUUAAUGCUUGCAUAUUUAAUAAACUUUUAAUGUUGGAUUUUAAUGAGUUGGCAGUUAUCUCUGAGCAUCCAGCUGCAGCUCUCACCCAGUCUAGGAGGCUCUUGGAUGUGGAUAUCUCUCACUUAGAAGUCAUGCGGCCUCUCCUUGGGCAGUCAGCGCUUGGCAGGCUGUAGCGUGCUUUGAUGUAGGUUGUGCUGAUGUGCAGGAACGCUGAACUUCAUAAUGUGGCUGGUGCCCUAGAGGGAGGCUUUUCAGGGGAGGAAUCUUAAAAGUCUCAAUGUAAGAGAACGUGACCUUGGUUAAUCUCCUGGUGAACCAUUUAUGGAAUUGGGAUGAUUCUUGCUAGCAUUUGAAUUAUUUUGGUUGCAAAAUGGGCCCGUUAUGGAAUAUGUUUCUAAAGUGGUGUUCGCCUGUUUACAAUCUGAAUGUUUUGACUUUGUGUUUUCAGGCUCAUUUUCCAAACCUACAUCAAAGUCUCAAAACCCCAAACAGGUGAAGUGCUCUUCUUGUGUUGCACAAUUGGCAUUAAGCGUCCCUAAUGAGGCCAUGGAAUCUAAUCUAUUAUUGAGGAAACCUUGGUGGAAUUAAGUUUGAUGGUAGUACUUGGGAGAUAAACCCAAGCAUAGCGAAUAAAUAUCACAGAAUCACAGUUGUAGGUGUUGGAAGGGACCUCUGCAGCUCCAAACAUCCAUGCAGCCCUCCUCUGGGCUCUCCCCGGAACUUCCCUGUCUGGUGCUGGGAGCCCAGAACUGGGCACAGUGCUCCAGCUGUGGCCUCACCAGGGCAGAGCACUGAGGAAGAACCUCCCUAAGCCCACUGGGCAUGCUCUGUGCUAUGCACCCUGGGGUCCCAUAGGCCUUCUUGGCCACAGGGGCACACUGCUGGCUUGGGGUCACCCUGCUGUCCACCAGGACACCCAGGUCCUUCUCUGCAGAGAAGCUACAUAAAACAAGUUGCCCAAGGAGGCUUUGGAUGCCC
ensembl:lncRNA